AAGCGAUUAUUAUAAGAAAGGUGAGUUAUUCUGCUGUUGAAUCUCUUCUCUGAGAGUCUGUGGCUCAGUUUGUCUGGUUUCUGUGUGUUAUAAGCUCCUCACAGCUGAGAAGGGUCUGGCUGCAGCCCGCCGCCAUUUUGAUUCGAAAACGAGGCUGACUGUCAGCAGCGUUCACUAUGGCGUAUUGUCGUGUACGUUCAGCCGUCAAAAUAAAGAGAAUACAUCAUUUCACAAAUUUCCACAGGACAAAGAACUUCAGAAAAAGUGGAUUGUUAAAAUUCGACGGGACAUAGGACCUAACUUUCAGAUUACAAAGAACACAAGAGUGUGCUCGAAACAUUUCUCUCCGGAAUGUUUUUCAAGAACAUUGACUGGAAUCAGGUUCAGUUCCGUCAGUGUUUACCUGGACUCAGCGGCCUUACGAAACGAAAACCCUGCGAUCACAAGGAAAAUGUCAUUUAGAGGAAGAACAUGAGGAAGAUGAAAGUUCUACAAAGGAUGGACCAAGCAAUGAAGAAUGAUACCCGCGAUCCUGAAGGCCGACGAGAGCCCCA